ensembl:lncRNA
GUCAGUUUCACGGUGCAGAGUGCCUAUUGAAUAUCUGACUAGGUGGAAAAGGCCUUUUCUAAAUGAAAACCUAAGGGUGUGUCACACUUACCCUCAAUCACAGAGAACAGUCUAAAUCCAUUCUGCACGGCCAGGGAUCACGUCACCCCCACGGCCCCCGUUCUGCAUGUGAUAAAGUAAGAAAGCGGUGAGCAGACAGGACCACAGCUCACAGAGAACUCCGCAUGGUAGCGUUCUGGGAGAGAGAGAGCCGUGAGCCACCUCCCUGGGCCAAGACUAGGCAGGGGCAUAUCCCAGGGUGAUCAUGCGUGUUGGCCUGAGAAGGCCCCUGGGUCUCAGCCUUCUCCCGGGAGACGGAUGAAUCAGAAUUCAUUUUGAAUGAUUAAGUUCCCAAGUAGCCUGGGAUGGUUAGGCGAUCUUAUCAUUUAAGUCUGCUACAGAGCAUCCUGCAACUCCACAAACUCUAUUGAUGAGAGAUUUCCAGAUGAACCAGAACCUUUAAGAAGUCAAUUGAAAACAGAAGCUCAUUUGAAAUAAUGGACAUAAAGAGAGAAUUUGCAAAUAACACGGGCUAAUGUCACGUGACUAGAGAUACACAGUCUCAGCUCUCCCACUUACUGUAUGGACUUCAUUCAUUCACUGAGCAGAUUAAAAUUAACUGGUCCUAGGUAUUUAUAGGAGAAGACAAUGGCACCCCACUCC